AAAUCUCCUCAAUCAAGUCGAGAGUGAACCGACAUGAGCAAGUCAUAUUAGAUUAAUUGAUCUAAUUGGUGUCUAGAAAAGCAUGAAAGGUGGUUACUUAAUUAGGACCUUACUCUCUGAGUAAGGGGAGCCUCCCACCUGCUUACCUGGCCAAUUGUUUGAUUACCUCUUAUGAAGAGCUCAAGUUGCAAACACUAAGACCUGAUUAACCAAUAUUAAGUCAAUAGGUCUUCCACUGUAGUAGAGCUGCUAAGGCCUUUCUGAUGUUGAUUUGUCUCGGCUGGAUACAGUGGUCAAGUUGCAUCGGGGGGCUAGACCUCUCUAUAGACAUGAGAUGUUGUAGGGUAAAGGUGGGGUUGGGCACCAAUAACUGUUAGGUGAGGGCCCAAUGACGACUUUAUUCCUACGGUUAUACGGUGGGUCUGACUUAACUAAGAAAUGGGACCAAUAACUGUUAGGUGAGGUCUUCAUGGCUUAGAGACCAAGUUACACUGCAACAUGCUUGAGAAGCAUUGUACAAGAGUUGUACAUUCAUCAAUCUAUGUGUCACCAAUAACUGUUAGGUGAGGUGGCAUGUAAAUCGAUGGGACCGCAGUACCCACUAGAAACCUUAGUCGUGUGGGAUUUCCGUUUUCCUACCAGGGGAGUGUGAGGAAUUCGAGAAAAUAGUGGGAGUUACAUUUGUUCUAAAAGACCUUAGAACAGAUUAGGAUCAAGUACAAAAGUCUAACUAGAAUCUUUACU
rnacentral:lncRNA from 1 species